AUGAUGAUCUCCUAUCUUUAUAAUAUACGGUUAGAACCUGAGUUCCAUGUGAAGAUUUUACUAGGGCGGACUGAUGUU